rnacentral:rRNA from 1 species
GAACACACUGUGCUUGCACACCGUGUUUUCUUGAGUCGCGAACGGGUGAGUAACGCGUAGGUAACCUGCCUAUUAGCGGGGGAUAACUAUUGGAAACGAUAGCUAAUACCGCAUAAUAUUAAUUAUUGCAUGAUAAUUGAUUGAAAGAUGCAAGCGCAUCACUAGUAGAUGGACCUGCGUUGUAUUAGCUAGUUGGUAAGGUAAGAGCUUACCAAGGCGACGAUACAUAGCCGACCUGAGAGGGUGAUCGGCCACACUGGGACUGAGACACGGCCCAGACUCCUACGGGAGGCAGCAGUAGGGAAUCUUCGGCAAUGGACGAAAGUCUGACCGAGCAACGCCGCGUGAGUGAAGAAGGUUUUCGGAUCGUAAAGCUCUGUUGUAAGUCAAGAACGUGUGUGAGAGUGGAAAGUUCACACAGUGACGGUAGCUUACCAGAAAGGGACGGCUAACUACGUGCCAGCAGCCGCGGUAAUACGUAGGUCCCGAGCGUUGUCCGGAUUUAUUGGGCGUAAAGGGAGCGCAGGCGGUCAGGAAAGUCUGGAGUAAAAGGCUAUGGCUCAACCAUAGUGUGCUCUGGAAACUGUCUGACUUGAGUGCAGAAGGGGAGAGUGGAAUUCCAUGUGUAGCGGUGAAAUGCGUAGAUAUAUGGAGGAACACCAGUGGCGAAAGCGGCUCUCUGGUCUGUCACUGACGCUGAGGCUCGAAAGCGUGGGUAGCGAACAGGAUUAGAUACCCUGGUAGUCCACGCCGUAAACGAUGAGUGCUAGGUGUUAGGCCCUUUCCGGGGCUUAGUGCCGGAGCUAACGCAAUAAGCACUCCGCCUGGGGAGUACGACCGCAAGGUUGAAACUCAAAGGAAUUGACGGGGGCCCGCACAAGCGGUGGAGCAUGUGGUUUAAUUCGAAGCAACGCGAAGAACCUUACCAGGUCUUGACAUCCCGAUGCUAUUCUUAGAGAUAGGAAGUUACUUCGGUACAUCGGAGACAGGUGGUGCAUGGUUGUCGUCAGCUCGUGUCGUGAGAUGUUGGGUUAAGUCCCGCAACGAGCGCAACCCUUAUUGUUAGUUGCCAUCAUUAAGUUGGGCACUCUAG